AUCUUCGUACUCCUUCCAGGUCGUGCGCCGCCGAGGCUCCUCCGUGCUUCUCGUCCAUUUGCGCCGCCGUUCGUCAUCCGCCUGAGCCGCCGACGAGUAAGGCACGGACGAACCAAAAAAAACUACGAUGCGACUCCCACUCCCGAAGACGCGGCGAUGGUAGGAUCUCUAUCAAAUGUUGUCAGCUUGAACUCUGAAGUUGGGUAAGUUUGUGGUGCUUCAUUUCUCCUUUAGUAUUUACCGUGAUUUACUUCUCCCUGCUACUGUGCAAGGGAAAUGAUAACAGAUUCUCGGAAAUAAAUGAUAAAGAAGGUUUGAUCUUGGUAUUGUUUGCAAGGACUGAACCCUUAAGUAGCAAGUCGUUCCUGGAAGAAAUACAUGGAGCAUACCAUUCAUACUUGUUCAUGAUUUCCUCAAGCACAAUUAGCUUCAAGGCUUCGACAAGCCAUUAGCUCUAAGUCAUGAAAGAAGGUUAUGGACUGAUGACUAAGCGGUUCGAGCUGAAGGAUCUUAUGUACUGAAUGAGCUGAAGAAAAUGAAUAUCAUGUUCUGGGAGUUCAAGCGAGUCUCCAACUGUAGAGAAGCAAACUAAAUAUGCCACACAUAUUUGUGCAAGAGAGGCACUUAGCUUAGACGUCUCUUCUAGCCUUGAUGCUAUUCCUGGUUUUCUGAGAGGAGUUGUUCAAUCAGAAUGUAUGCUGAUUGCAGCUUAAUAAAGUUUGUCGAUUAAUGUAAAAAAAUUGUACUUAACACAUAUAUUUGAUGCACUUUACCUGGUUAAUUUGGUAACAUGAUGCAUAGAAGCUGAUUUAAAUUUGCAGGUUUCAAUACUGGACCAGAGUCAACAAACGACAGGUUCAUGGGAAUGAAUCAAAUAAUUUUUCAGAAGUGUGUGGUAUUGUGCGAGUUUCCUUUUCUGGCGUGUAUGCGCUUUCCAGGUUGUUGACGGUGAAAAGGUAUUUAUUCCAGUCCAUUGCAUACUCUUUUCUGCAUCCAGGUUCGUGCUUAUUGCACUUUUGUUAUGCUGGAGCUCAAUUCUUAUUUUUUCUGCUGAUGUUGGUGUAAAUUAUAUAUGCAUAUGCUAAGCCAGCUUUGAUUUAGUGAGAUUAAAUAGUUCAAGCAACCUUGUCUCUAACUGCUUUGGGAACCUUUUCUCUUAAUUAAAAAACAGUAAAAUUUAACUGCCUAGGAGACACUAGAACGUCCGAUCUAUCUAUUAAAUGCUCAUGAUAUCUUGCCAUCCCCAGGGCUCUUCUCCACCCGCCACCCAUCAUGACCAGUGAAAACAUUGAUGGGUGGUUGCAGUUUUUCUCUUUGUGCUGUAACAUGGAAUAACCAAAGAGAAGCUGUAGGAAAAUUUUCUUGGAAUCAAGUAAGUUGAGAUUAACAGCAUGCCGUUGAUCUUGGAAAAUUGGGCCUGCCUUCUACAAGAUGCAAGGCUCUAAAACUCAACAAGGUUUCUUAACAUAUGUACUCCUCCGUUCUAUGAAACUUGUCUGAACUUAUCAAAAUCUGGAUGUAUUUAGACACUAUUUAGCAUCUGAUACGUUCAAAUUUUAGCAAAGUUCAGACAAGUUUCAUGAGAUGUAGGGAGUACAAAUGUGGAGCGAUGAAUCUCUAUCAGAGGCACGUGGCAUUUAUUGCCAGGGUUUUCCUGCAUAUCUGAAUAUAUAUUGCUUUGAUAUGUUAUCUGGGUCUCCUCAUGUAUGUCAAAUGAAGUCAAUUUCAUGUGUCGUUCAUAUGAAAUCCAUGAAAGGUGGCCAGGAGCUGACCGGGAGUAAAGGGUAUUCUGGAGCUUGUGAUACAAUUAUGUGUAGCGCCGCGCAUCAGUGUUCUGCAUAAUGCAACCCCUUUUAUGUCACUCUUUCUCUAAUUUUCCAUGCAAAUCAAAGAUUAAAAAUCUGUUUCUAUGAUCAUUGCUACUUGGUAUCAAUGCCAAGUAGCAAUGAGGGUCUGCUGUAUAUCAAUGCUGGAUUAAAUUUGGAAAAAAACAAGUAUAGUGUAAUUUACUUAUUGCUUACAUGUAUGUGCUCAAAUUUUUCCGAUGAUUGUUACGAUUCUUACUUAUCUCUCAGAUCUGUGCUUGGCUCUAGACUCAAUAGUUCCAGUGUUACUACUUCAUUUUGACAUUCAGUUUUAGCAAUUAAAAUAAUUCCCAUUUUAGUGCUCUUCAAAUAUUUAGUUAGAUCUGAUCAACUUGAUCAUAUAUCUCAUGGUACAACUAUUACUACUUUGUGCAUUGUUCCUAUCAUGAAUCAUGAUGCCAUCAACAUAUCUUCACAAUUAUAUUCUAUUUUUUUCCCUAAAUUUACGUAUAUUGUUCCUGACUGUUGCAUUAAAACUACUCAGGGACAUGGGAUAAGCCCAGAGGACUUAAAUGGCCUAUGCAAGUUUAUUGAUGCCUCCAGAAAUUGAGGAGAUAACUCUUUCCUUCAGUACGGAAUAUCAUAUGCUUCAGCAGGAUAGGGUACUUAGAUGAGUUGGUUUUAAAAUCCGUUGAUUAAGUACUUUGGUCUGUAGAUACUAGAUAGUCAAUUCUUGUAAUGCAAGAGUUGAAUUUCUUGAAAAUGUGACGUUCUUAUUAGAGUUGAAUUAUAUAGAAGAGUAGAAAAUGCUAGCUUUUAAAGGAUAGAACGGUGUAACUCAUAGCUAUAUCCAUUUUUAUCAACUUUCUCAUGAAUGUGAUCUUAGAAUAAGGAAAAGAGAAACCGGUUAUGUGAGUGUAUUAUUUUUUCUUGAAGUAUGUACUAUCACCUACAUCAAGGCAUUGUAACUAUAAAUAUUCUUUUUUUUAAAGAAAAUUUUGUAUUGUCUAAA